rnacentral:rRNA from 1 species
GUAGGUGGCAAGCGUUGUCCGGAAUUAUUGGGGCGUAAAGCGCGCGCAGGCGGUUCUUUAAGUCUGAUGUGAAAGCCCACGGGCUCAACCGUGGAGGGUCAUUGGAAACUGGAGAACUUGAGUACAGAAGAGGAAAGCGGAAUUCCACGUGUAGCGGUGAAAUGCGUAGAGAUGUGGAGGAAUACCAGUGGCGAAGGCGGCUUUCUGGUCUGUAACUGACGCUGAGGCGCGAAAGCGUGGGGAGCAAACAGGAUUAGAUACCCUGGUAGUCCACGCCGUAAACGAUGAGUGCUAAGUGUUAGGGGGUUUCCGCCCCUUAGUGCUGCAGCUAACGCAUUAAGCACUCCGCCUGGGGAGUACGGCCGCAAAGGCUG